rnacentral:rRNA from 1 species
UCUAAGUAUAAGCAAUCUAUACCGUGAAACUGCGAAUGGCUCAUUAAAUCAGUUAUCGUUUAUUUGAUAGUACCUUACUACUUGGAUAACCGUGGUAAUUCUAGAGCUAAUACAUGCUAAAAACCCCGACUCCGGAAGGGGUGUAUUUAUUAGAUAAAAAACCAAUGCCCUUCGGGGCUCCUUGGUGAUUCAUAAUAACUUAACGAAUCGCAUGGCCUUGUGCCGGCGAUGGUUCAUUCAAAUUUCUGCCCUAUCAAGUUUCGAUGGUAGGAUAGUGGCCUACCAUGCUGUCAACGGGUAACGGGGAAUUAGGGUUCUAUUCCGGAGAGGGAGCCUGAGAAACGUAAGUUAACCCCCGUCCCCCCUCUUAAAUCUAGUUGCUAACAUUAUUUGUAGGGCUACCACAUCCAAGGAAGGCAGCAGGCGCGCAAAUUACCCAAUCCCGACACGGGGAGGUAGUGACAAUAAAUACUGAUACAGGGCUCUUUUGGGUCUUGUAAUUGGAAUGAGUACAAUUUAAAUCCCUUAACGAGGAACAAUUGGAGGGCAAGUCUGGUGCCAGCAGCCGCGGUAAUUCCAGCUCCAAUAGCGUAUAUUAAAGUUGUUGCAGUUAAAAAGCUCGUAGUUGAACCUUGGGCCUGGCUGGCUGGUCCGCCUCACCGCGUGCACUGGUCCGGCCGGGUCUUUCCUUCUGGAGAACCGCAUGCCCUUCACUGGGUGUGUCGGGGAACCAGGACUUUUACUUUGAAAAAAUUAGAGUGUUCAAAGCAGGCCUAUGCUCGAAUACAUUAGCAUGGAAUAAUAAAAUAUGACGCGCAGUUCUAUUUUGUUGGUUUCUAGGACCGCCGUAAUGAUUAAUAGGGAUAGUCGGGGGCAUCAGUAUUCAAUUGUCAGAGGUGAAAUUCUUGGAUUUAUUGAAGACUAACUACUGCGAAAGCAUUUGCCAAGGAUGUUUUCAUUAAUCAGUGAACGAAAGUUAGGGGAUCGAAGACGAUUGUUGCAAAGAACCCGAACAUUACUCGAGAUCCGAGGCGCAUCACGUUUCCAAAACAAAACGUGUGAAGCCAGAAAAUCCGAUGUGAAGUUCGUAUCUGGUCGUCUAAAAUGGAAAAUUCUCCAUUACACCAUAGGUGGCGCAUAUGAUUAUAGUAUGUAAAGCCUGGUGAACACCAUCAAACUGCGGGGACCCCCUAAAGGCGGCUACUACGACGCAUAUAUCGAAAGCUAUAUGUGCCUAUGUUACAAUAAUAAUAACAUAGGGCGUAAAAAUGUAGCGUAUGAGGUUCAGUAUGAAUCGAAAUGGGCAAUCCGCAGCCAACCCCUAAGGCGCCUUCAGGUUAGCUAUGGGAGCAGUUCACAGACUAGACGUUGGUGGGGGGCUUCUAAGAUGAGCCCUCUAAGAUAUAGUCGAGGCGCAAGUGAAAGCUUGCGAUAGUAAUGCAGAUACCGUCGUAGUCUUAACCAUAAACUAUGCCGACUAGGGAUCGGGCGAUGUUAUUUUAUUGACUCGCUCGGCACCUUACGAGAAAUCAAAGUCUUUGGGUUCUGGGGGAGUA